rnacentral:rRNA from 1 species
AGUAACGCGUGAGUAACCUGCCUUACACAAGGGGAUAGCCUUUGGAAACGAAGAAUAAUACCCUAUAAAACCAUAAAAGCACAUGCUAGAAUGGUCAAAGUGCUAGCGGUGUAAGAUGGACUUGCGUCUGAUUAGCUAGUUGGUGAGAUAAAAGCUCACCAAGGCAACGAUCAGUAGCCGGCUUGAGAGAGUGUACGGCCACAUUGGGACUGAGACACGGCCCAG